rnacentral:tRNA from 1 species
GUCUCUGAUGUGUAGCGGUUAGAACGCUGGUCUUGUAAUCCUGGGGUCUCGGGUUCGAUUCCCGGCGGUGCCC